GAAAGACCCCGUGAACCUUUACUAUAGCUUGACACUGAACAUUGAGCCUUGAUGUGUAGGAUAGGUGGGAGGCUUUGAAGUGUGGACGCCAGUCUGCAUGGAGCCGACCUUGAAAUACCACCCUUUAAUGUUUGAUGUUCUAACGUGGGCCCCUAAUCGGGGUUGCGGACAGUGUCUGGUGGGUAGUUUGACUGGGGCGGUCUCCUCCUAAAGAGUAACGGAGGAGCACGAAGGUUGGCUAAUCCUGGUCGGACAUCAGGAGGUUAGUGCAAUGGCAUAAGCCAGCUUGACUGCGAGCGUGACGG
rnacentral:rRNA from 1 species